rnacentral:lncRNA from 1 species
CUCCAAUAGAAGACGAGAAUUUCGGACAGACAGCGACUCCCACCAAUUACAUCCCGAGCUCGAUUUCCGCCAGCCAAUCACUGACGCGGAGGCGGGCUCCAGCGCUCUUGUAGAGGGGAGGGUUCACACGUUUCACUACGUUGGCUCUUCUCCCAUAAAGAUUUCGGUGUGGGAAUUUCAGUUUUACAUUGCAUGAGGAGGAAUGCAACGGAACGUAUCGGAAUGUUUUUCUAGUUUUUAGGAAUUCUAAAGAACCUUUAUGGUCAUCCUUGGAACUUUUAGGCGGAACACAUGACAAGAUCUAGAGGUACUACUGAAAGAGCUGAAGACUUUCAGUCGUGAAGUAACAGUAAGCUGAAGACUGAUUUUCUUUGGAAAUGUUAUAUAUCACGAACCUUGAAACAGCAUAAAAAAUACAUAAAAAACAUAAUAGUUAUUUACGGUUACGUAACAUGGACCUGAAAUGGGCACUACUUUUGGGUCUCUUUCUACCAUCAUGCAGUGGAUGUGCCAAUGGAUAUAAAUUUGUUAAAAGGAAAUGUGUUGAUGAGGAUGAGUGUGCUGUUUUCCCGAUUGUGUGUGGCGAUCACGCUCAGUGUGUGAAUACAGAGGGAAGUUACCACUGCUCCUGUAAUGAAGGAUUCAAAAUGAGCUUAACAGGAUCGUGUAAAGACAUCGAUGAGUGUAGAGAUGAUCCAGAUGUUUGCGGCACUAACGGCGACUGA